UACGUAGAGGGCAAGCGUUAUCCGGAUUUACUGGGUGUAAAGGGAGCGUAGACGGCAGAGCAAGUCUGAAGUGAAAGCCCGCGGCCCAACUGCGGGACUGCUUUGGAAACUGCCCGGCUAGAGUGCUGGAGAGGUAAGCGGAAUUCCUAGUGUAGCGGUGAAAUGCGUAGAUAUUAGGAGGAACACCAGUGGCGAAGGCGGCUUACUGGACAGUAACUGACGUUGAGGCUCGAAAGCGUGGGGAGCAAACAGG
rnacentral:rRNA from 1 species